AGAUGUUUAAGUAUGUCAAUUAUCAUUUGAGUGCUCUGUAACGAUUAUGUCAAUUGCAACCUAUCUGGAUAUGAGGCUAUGAUUUGCUUAAGGAAAUCAAGGAAUCUUCAUCCUUGAGAUACAUACCAGUGGUGAUUAUGUCAUUUGAGAAUGUGCUUUCAAGGAUUAACAAAUGCUUGGAGGAAGGAGUAGAGGAAUUUUUUCUUGAAGCCUGUGUACAUCCUAUUAUAGAUCAACAGAAACAACACUACAAGCCAAUAAUAACAGGAGGAAGGCCAUGGAAGAGGAGACUUCACCUGUGAGUCUGUGACUGACAGAUCAAGGACCAAGAUACAAAGGGUCUAAAAUUGUAUUAUGAUAACUUUUUUUUUUUUGAAAAUAAAAAAGUUAA